rnacentral:rRNA from 1 species
UAAUACGUAGGGUGCGAGCGUUGUCCGGAAUUAUUGGGCGUAAAGGGCUCGUAGGCGGUUUGUCGCGUCGGGAGUGAAAACACUGGGCUUAACUCAGUGCUUGCUUCCGAUACGGGCAGACUAGAGGCAUGCAGGGGAGAACGGAAUUCCUGGUGUAGCGGUGAAAUGCGCAGAUAUCAGGAGGAACACCGGUGGCGAAGGCGGUUCUCUGGGCAUGUCCUGACGCUGAGGAGCGAAAGUGUGGGGAGCGAACAGG